GUUGAAGGAAUUGAAUGUGCAAGCGAUUCAGCAAUAGAGUCUUCCUGCCAAGCAAGCUUGAUGUGGAGUUCAUCUUCUUCAUGCAAUGUUCCUGGUCACAAAACCACAACUGAUGAAAUUGCAAUUAAAUCAAAACAAGCCAACGUCUGUAUUUACAGCCUCAAUGCAUUGAAUUACAGGCCAUCAGAAAGAGAUACUGCCUUAUGUGGAAAUUAGAGAGAGGACUUUCUCAAGCUCAAACCCUCCUCUGCCUCCCUUCCCUAGUUACAGACUUUUCCCACCAUGCUUGCUUAAAUUCAUUUGCUUCAAAAUGCUUUCCACCAGACCACCUCUUAUUUCAUUACCCUUCCCUUCUUUUCCAUAUUCCCCUCAAUCUCAACUCCAAACCACCAUCCUUGUGAUCAUCAUUAUGCCUCUUACUAUAUAUAGCCUCAUCAUGGUCCUAGAAAUCCAGAGCCUUGGAUAUCCUUUACAUAUAUAUAUAUAUAUAUAUAUAUAUAUAUAUAUAUAUAUAUAUAUCCCUUCAUCCACUCCAUUUAUGUACCAUAAAAGCUGGGGAUUAGUGAGAUUUCUUUUCAAUUUCAUUUACAGCAUUAAGCAAGCACCGUUCACCUAACCCCAUCCCUUCCUUCCACUUCAACUACAAAAGUGGGAUUAGUGAGAUCAGUUCAGUUUCUUGACUGCAGUGCUUGUAUAAUUACAUGAGCUACACUACUUAUGCUGUCAGAAAAUGUUAAGCCUGCACGGUGUGGAGUGAAGAAUUUGUAAGUUUGUCUCUGUGGAGAAUAUGUAAGGUUUGUAUGUUCAAGCAAACUUGAUAUUUACUUCUUUUUUUAAUGAGUCUAGAUUGUUGGGACAAUUCAUGAGAUUUAUACAAGGAAUGUAGAAACAACGGAAGAAGGGAACUUACAAAAGGAUGCCCAAACUCCCAAGAAGAAGAAUGUUUUACUCUUUACCAUUUCACCCACACCAGAUUCACAAAGCUUUACAAAAUUGCUGUAGGUACCCCCAUCAGAGUGGUGUCAUGAUGACUAUUUUGUCUUGAAAUGAAAGGAAUAUGGUGAAUUAGGUAGGAUGGUGGUUGGAAUGGUGUAGAUUUACUCUUAUCCAAGUCUAGGUAAUUACUCUAGACUUGCUCUCUUCAAUUAUUAUGGACACCAGUUGUCAAUGCCACUUAUGGGCCCAGCUGUAGUACAUGAGCCCUGCUGAUGCCUCCCAUCCAUAAUCUCCCUAACGGCAGAAGUUAGCAAACCCAGAAGCACAUUAAUGCUUUUCCUCUCCCUCCCAUGAGAUAAGAACAAGAGCACUUCCUUCUCAAGCAAAGUCAGUGGCCCUUAUAGGAUUGGUUCUCCCCAUCCACAGUCUCUGGCAUGGAAAGACAGCCUAGACCAAGUAGUGAUCAGAAGUGUGGAUGCAAUGAACGCCUAGCUAUUACUAGUUCAAAAAAUAGCGGGUUUUCCAGUACUUCACCUGCCUGGUAUAGAGAAUUUGUUAACACAAUUCCGUUGCAAGAGCAGCCUUCAUAGUGGUGGGUAUGUUUGGUCUGUUGAUCAGCCUGCAACGUUAAAGCUUCACUUCAAGCUCUCCAUACAAGGGCUUCAAAAAU
rnacentral:lncRNA from 1 species